ensembl:lncRNA
CACUAUAACCUCACCCCACGCGCCAGUCUCCUCCUCCGCCAUCCGUUGGCACAACGAAUUCCAACGUGCAACGUAGUCGCCAUUUUAUGCUAUUAUUUUGUGGAUACCGAGAAGAGAACAGAAUUUCUGGUGUGGAGAAGAUUUUCGUCUACAUUUGACCAUGCCACAUGCAAGCAAGAGUUCCAGGGCAGCCAAGAAAAGGAUAUCUUCUCCAGAAGACCAAGGAUCCACUGUUAAGAUGCCGAGGAAGAAGAACUGGCGGAAAGGGCGUGAUCACUUGGCUGCUGCUCCAAUAUGUAGCGCCUUGUCUGAUUUUUCUCUAUCCACUGAUCCCCACUCUACCCCUUGCGAUAUCCCAUCUUCCUCUUCAUCCCCCACCCCAAGCUUCAUCUACUCUGAUUUUCCUCCUCUUCCGACCUCUCGGUCAUCUAUCUUUAGGCCCUGUGAGUCUCUUUCACAGUCUGUGCCUGUUGUGAGCUGUGAUAAUGUAUCGCAGUCUCUUUCAAGGACCAGUGGAGCAUCGUUCACACUGCCUCUGCAAUCUAUAAGGUGUGCAGCCAUUGGGGCAUACUGUUCUCACGGUGAAACUCUCAGUAACCAAGAAAAAAAAAUGGAUACAAAACUGGCAAACUUUGGUACAAAACUGGCAAACUUUGGUACAAAACUGUGCAACACUGCAAACUUUGAAAUGAAACUUGAUACAACUCUUGCAAGCCUUGAAACAUACACUAUUGUAAUACCUGAAGAAAAGAAAACUAUCAAAAGUCAUUCAACAAACUCUGUUGAAUACAUGAACAGUGGUGAGCUGUCCAACACCGUGCCUCCAAGCUGUCAUAACAGGUAUAUACAAGGAUCUUUUCAUCAAGGACAUGUGAUGUUUGAAGAUAAUGCAGGUGUACAAUGUGUGGCAAACAGUUUAACAGCAAUGUUGAUGAAUAAACUGAAAGAUGUGUGCACGUGGCAAAGUAGUGACCUUGAUAAUAUUCUUGUGAAUGGAAACAUGCUUUAUACGUCAGUAAAGAACUGCAAUCAGGGAAACCAUACUCAUCUUUUGGUAAGUGAUUUGCCAAAGUCUCAUGUGUUGCAUAAUGUUGAUUUUACAAUUAAUCUUGGACAAGCGUUUAGUGGCAUAGUAGGAGUACAUGAAUAUGAUUUAGAGUUGGCAGAUAUGGCAAUAAGCCUUUAUGAAGCACUGCAGAGAGUAUUACUAGGAGAUGACAGCUGUUUUUUGACAAUGAAUGAAAGUACUUGUGCCAUUAUUAAACACACCAGUGGUUAUGCAGUAUUUGACUCUCACUCACGCAGCUAUGAUGGCCUUGUUCAUCCAACAGGAAAAAGUCUUGUGUGUUUCUAUCAAACUUUUGAGGAUAUGUACAGUCAGCACAUUAAUAGGCUUGCAAGUUCAAUGAAUGCCCCUGGAAAACAUUUUGAGGUAACUGGAAUCAGCGUAACAAUGAGAAGUGAAGACGGCAACACUACAGCACUACACAGGUCUAGUAGACGGAAACGCAAUGCCAGGAAACCACAAGUAAUGACAGAGGUGUUUGUUGAUGGGAAUAUUCAUGUUCCCGAGAGUACUUUCAAAACACAAACUGUGUGUGGUCAUGCAUUGCCAUCACAAAAUGAGAAUUUCUUGUGUGAAAACCAUAGGCCUAUCAAUGUUACUAGUGCUGAAAGACUUUUGACAACAAAAGGGAUUGAUCUAACUGUAGACAACAACAGUGAGUGUAUUGAACACAAUGUUGAACAG